AGCUCCAAUAGCGUAUACUAACGUUGUUGCAGUUAAAAAGCUCGUAGUUGGAUUUCUGAUCUUUGCCAAUGGUUGUCAGUCCGCGUGAUUGGCUCCUUGCGCAGAGGUCAACAUAUGUCACGAGCCAGUGUGAUCUAUUUAUUUAGGUCCACUGGGUAAUGACUCGUUUACUUUGAGAAAAUUAGAGUGUUCAAAGCAGGCAUUUGCCUUGAAUAUGUUAGCAUGGAAUAAUAGCAUAGGACUUCGGUUCUAUUUGUUGGUUGUUCGAGAACUGGAGUAAUGAUUGAUAGGGACGGU
rnacentral:rRNA from 1 species